rnacentral:rRNA from 1 species
AGCUUGUAGAGGUUUUAUUUCAAGUUUUUUUCUGCCCGGUGUCGUGUUUUCGUAAACGGCCGCGGUAUUUUGACCGUGCAAAGGUAGCAUAAUCAUUUGUCCUUUAAUUGGGGGCUGGGAUGAAAGGAAGGUCGAGGGUUUUACUGUCUCUUUAUUAUUUUUAUAAUUUGCUGUUUUUGUGAAGAAGCAAAAUUUCUUAAGGGGGACAAGAAGACCCUAUUAAGCUUUAUCUUUUUAAGCUUUUUGGAUAUAUUUAUAUUAAUAAGUUGAUUAGAAGAUUUGGUUGGGGCGACCAAAGAAGAUGUAAAUCUUCUUUGUUUUAAAAACUUUAGGUUUAAAAAAGAACCAGAAUUUCUGGUUGAAAGAAUUAGUUACUAUAGGGAUAACAGCGUAAUCUUUUCGUAGAGUUCUUAUUGAUGAAAAGGAUUGCGACCUCGAUGUUGACUUGUUUUAUCCUUUUUAGGUGUAGCCGCUGUAAGGGUUGGUCUGUUCACCAUUAAAAUAAC